GUGCUUUUGCAUCUCCAAUUCGAGCAAUUGAAGUUGCUUAUAUAAGGGAUAGAUUCUAGGGUUUCGAAUUUUCGAUAUCGUUGAACAGAAAAGGAAUAUAAGUUAGAGAGGAUCAUGAUUAGGAAAGGUUAUUGGGAUUUGGGUGAAUCAAUAUCUUUCGAGAAGUUAAUGGUGAUAUAUUCUUCAGAAUAUCUCGAGGAGUAGACGAAAUCGAAAAGGGGAAGAAUUGAUAUACUUAGGGUAAGGGGCUAUUUGAGUCGGGUAUCCAUUAAC
rnacentral:lncRNA from 1 species